rnacentral:rRNA from 1 species
GUUCAUGCCGUAUUAAGGCGAAACCGCGAAUGGCUCAUUAAAUCAGUUAUGGUUCCUUGGAUCGUACUUUCCUACUUGGAUAACUGUGGCAAUUCUAGAGCUAAUACAUGCAGCAGAGCUCCGACCGUAAGGGACGAGCGCUUUUAUUAGACCAAAACCAAUCGGACCUCGUGUCCGUUUCUUGUGGUGACUCUGAGUAACUUUGGGCUGAUCGCACGGGCUCGUCCCGGCGACGUAUCUUUCAAGUGUCUGCCUUAUCAACUGUCGAUGGUAGGUUACGCGCCUACCAUGGUCGUAACGGGUGACGGGGAAUCAGGGUUCGAUUCCGGAGAGGGAGCCUGAGAAACGGCUACCACAUCCAAGGAAGGCAGCAGGCGCGCAAAUUACCCACUCCCGGAACGGGGAGGUAGUGACGAAAAAUAACAAUACGGGACUCUUUUGAGACCCCGUAAUUGGAAUGAGUACACUCUAAAUCCUUUAACGAGGAUCCAUUGGAGGGCAAGUCUGGUGCCAGCAGCUGCGGUAAUUCCAGCUCCAAUAGCGUAUAUUAAAGUUGUUGCGGUUAAAAAGCUCGUAGUUGGAUCUCAGCUCGAGACGGAGGGUCCGCCUACCGGUGGUUACUUUCUGUUCUCAGCAUUCCGCCGGUUUCUCUUGAUGAUCUUCACCGGUUGUCUUGGGUGACCGGCAAGUUUACUUUGAAAAAAUUAGGGUGCUCAAAGCGGGCGCGACGCCUGAAUAAUGGUGCAUGGAAUAAUGGAAUAGGACCUCGGUUCUAUUUUGUUGGUUUUCGGAACACGAGGUAAUGAUUAAGAGGGACAGACGGGGGCAUUCGUAUUGCGACGCUAGAGGUGAAAUUCUUGGACCGUCGCAAGACGAACUACUGCGAAAGCAUUUGCCAAGAAUGUUUCCAUUAAUCAAGAACGAAAGUUAGAGGCUCGAAGGCGAUCAGAUACCGCCCUAGUUCUAACCAUAAACGAUGCCAGCCAGCGAUCCGGCUGUGUUCCUCAAAUGACACGCCGGGCAGCUUCCGGGAAGCCAAAGCUUUUGGGUUCCGGGGGAAGUAUGGUUGCAAAGCUGAAACUUAAAGGAAUUGACGGAAGGGCACCACCAGAAAUGGAGCCUGCGGCUUAAUUUGACUCAACGCGGGUGAACCUACCCGGCCCGGACACAGGAAGGAUUGACAGAUUAAGAGCUCUUUCUUGAUUCUGUGGGUGGUGGUGCAUGGCCGUUCUUAGUUGGUGGGGCGACUUGUCUGGUUAAUUCCGAUAACGAACGAGACUCUAGCCUACUAAAUAGACGCUCCGAUCCUUCGAGUCGGACG